UUGAAACACUGGUUCCGUACGACCAGCGAAAUUAAGCAACGUCAGGCUUGUUCAGUAUCUAGAUGAGUGACGUCUUGGGAAUACCAGGUGCUGUAG